GUCAAAGCAAAAACAAGUAAAUUAACUUUCUAUUUUACAGAUUUCUAAGGAACAUUAUCCUUUUGAAUGAAUCAGUCUAAUUUAGGGGACCAGGGCAAAAGAAACAUAAACACUCUACUUACCUAGGGGUCCAGGAUUAAACUUUUACAUGGUAAUAUAUAGAAGUUUGAAACAUUCCCUCUCUCAUUGAUAAAAUGGAAACUUGUCACUAGAGACACUGAGGUUUUCAAGUACUUUUUAAAAAUUUGGAGAUUCUAAUCCACAGAAGCCAUGUGAGAUCAAAUUUCCCAUGGGACAAAGUUGCAUCCUGUCUCUUGAAGACAGAGUAAUAUAUUAAAUGCAAACCAAAAAGCUACUACAUGCCAUCACUGGGCUAGGUGCCAGGGACAGACAAAUGUAAACAAAACAGUAAGAAUCCUCCAGGAUUAGUGAGAGUGAAAAAACAGGCAAGGGGUACAACACCAAAGUCCGAACAUUCCUGAUAAAGACUGGGAGGUCAUAUCCAAUAAGAGGAUUAAACAUGGUGGACAACUCAGACUGGCGUUCAUAAGAGCAGAGAGCACGUGUCAAACAAACAACAAAUUCCAUUUAAAUUCAACCCAUUUUCAUCAAGGCUCAUCCCCUCCCUAUGCUAGACUGGGAGAACUACUGAAGAGUCUCCCAGACCUGCCUCCCAGAUGCUCUGUCUCCGAGUUCAGAACCAAAGCAGGGCGCUGACAUUUACAAAGAAACACACUCUGCUCAGCAGGAAGAAACCCUGAACUCAUGAAAGUUUAUUUGCUUGAACUCUGUGAAAGUGAAGAACUGCUGAAUAGACAGAAGAAAGUGAAUGUUCUCACCAUUUCUCAAGACGUGAAAUAAGAAACCGUUUCUGAGUGGGGGCCUCAGGUGCUCCUGGCUUAUUAUCUCUAGGCUUCAUUAACUGCCUGACUUUAACUUGGUCUAGAGAGUGAGUGACCCACCUGAGAUAACACGGCACAUUUUCAUCAUCAAGUUCAUACCUGCCUCACUUGGAAAUUGUAUCCUUUUUUUUUUAAAGCAGGAAAGGAUCUUAGAGGUCCCUUUAUAAAGAAGCAGAAGGGGACAGUUAAGUGAAUAUCUAAGGGUCACAAGGCAGUGGAGUGUAGCAGAAAGGGGUCUAAGACGGGAAUCUAAAGACCUAGAGUAUUCUCUUUGACUAUCUGAGUUUCCUGAUCUGAAAAAUAGUUCUAAUUAUACUCAUGCUACAUUGUUAUGAGGAACAAAUGAGAUAGAGCAUGCUCUGCAAAAUACAAGUAUAUGUAAAAGCUAUAUUGCUCAUGGAGGGGGUUUGGGGCUAGACCCCAGAUUGCCCUGUUCAGAUAGUAGCAUCUGCAGAUGGCUACAAGGGAGGGCAAUUCCCUGUACAUUACACAGGCCAAAAACAAUUAAUGUGUGAGCUUCAAAGUGACAUUAAUAAAGUACAUACGACGUGACUGAAGCUUUCCUCUAAAACACAGCAGAGGACAAACUAUAAACAGACACAGCUGUUACUAUUUAAGAAAUGCUCAGCACAUGCUCUAAUCAUGUCAAGCUCUAUUAGGGCUAUUUACAUAGAUUUAAAAUCAGAAAUGGGCAGAAAGAAUGAAACUAGGAUUUAGGCAUAGUUUGUAAAAUCCUUUGUAAAAUCUGCCCUCCUUUCUCCCUCAUUCACCAAAACAAUUCUUUUUUUCUCCCACGUGUAUAUUUUAUUUUUUUUAAUUAAAUUUUGAAAAAAUUAUCAAAAAUCUACUUUUUCUCCUUCGUAUCCAUCCCCUUCCCACUGCAAAAGGAAAAAAAAUCCUUUGUAACACAUAAAGUUAAUCAAGCAAGACAAAUUCCCACAUUGGUCAAGUCUAAAUAAAUGUAUGUCUCAAUCUGCACUCUGAUUUGAUUACCCCUCUGUCAGAAAGCAAGGUAGCAGGCAAAACAAUUCUUAAGCUUUUCUUUAAAAAAAAAAACAUCAUUCCUUAGUGAUAAAAUUCCUGAGCCUUUAGGGAGUAUAUUAGACUUUUGCCACAAGUGAUCUCUUGGAAGCGAGGUUUGACAUUUGAAGGUCAGGGCUGGUGAACACAAAGCUGAUACAGCAAUUCUGCUAACCACAUCCUCUUCUGGUGCUCCAUCCUGGGGCCAACUACACAUAAUUCUGCAUGUGAGCCAAGUACUCCCAGAAACAAAACGAUCCAAAGCCACUUUUUAGCUAUUCCCAAUGAAUGACUCAGUGUGGGAUGCUGUAUAUGAAUGCAAUGGAAUGUUAAUGAUAUUAGGAAAUGACUAAACUAUGAUACACGAAUGUAAGAAAGACAAAGACAAAGAAUUCAGAGGAGUAUGGGAAAAUGUAAAUGAACCGAUGCAGACUGAAGUCAUCAGAACCAGGAUAACAAAUAUACACAAAAACCACAGUCAUGAAAAUGGAAACAAAAUCUCUUGAACAGAAUGCCAAGCAAUUCUAAAGACUAAGGUUGGCCCCAGGGAAGAGAUGAUAAAUGCAGCUCCCUCCCUUUUUUGCAGCUAUGGUCUAUGCAUGUGGAACAUUGCCUAUAGUGUCAGACUUGGUGGUGGUGUGGGUUAAUUUUGCUGAAUGACUUUGUUUUCCCCCUUUUUUGUUCUUUGUUUGAAGCCUGUGGGGUAGCAAAGGGGGAGGGAUAUACUCAGAAAUGAAUGUGAUCUAAAAAAGACUGGUAGUACUUAGAUAGAAUCUGGUCUAUUCAAACUCAAUUUACAGCUAAAGAAACUUAGGCCCAAUACUGACCACCUCUGGCAUAGUUAUAGAAGCAUGAGCUACUUACUUGUUAUACAGUUAUCCCUUCCACAUCAAGGGAGUUAGGGGUACAGUGCCCCCGAGAUCUGGAAAAUCCAUGUAAAAUGUUUUUUGGCCCUCCCUUCAUAUCAGAGAAGAAGUCUGACUUAUUAUAGUAUUAAAAGAUAAAAUAUGUUGUUGUUAUUCUAGCCUUUAUGUAAAGUUCAUCAUUACUUCUGAUUAGCUUUAACCGUUCUUGACUCUUAAGUACAGAAUUAAGAUAAACACCAUUUUCUAUGCCCAACUGUAGUAUUUAAACUAAGAAACUCUGAAAAAAAGAUGGUGUGUAACAAGCUAAUUAAGUCUUCAAAUAAAUAAUAUGUUGAGUCACUAAAUGAGUUAGAGAUGCUUUUUCAUUCAGCUAAGGAGUACAAAGUGACUUUGAGAAGGGUUCAGAGAAAGGUGGGCAAGAGCUUCCAUCCAAGGAGUUUCGUUUAAAGUCAAACUAUAAGGAUUUAAGUUUUGUGAUCCUGGAAAGAUAGGGGCUGCCAGGAGAAAUGUUCAGUUAUAAAAUCAUAAAGUAAAUAUUAUUUUUUCCAUCAAUUUCUAUAACAUUAAAGUCAGAGGAUCCCUAUGAAAAUCUGAAAGAGGGAAUUUUAGCAUCAGUGAUUGGCAGUAAUCUUCCUGUUCUAGUCAGAGGAGUGCAGUCAGAGUGAGGAAAGUGAAUUGCAAAACUUUUCAGUGCAGAUUAUCGAUAUGCUAUAAUGAUCUCUAAGACCCCUUCCAUCAUAAAUAUUCUGUGAUUGUAUGAUUCCUUAUUUUCAAAAGGCAUGUCAGUCAGUCAGUCAGUCAUUCACUUCAGUAUCUAAAGUAUCCAAGUAUUAUAUUCUCUACUGAAUUCUGGUCAUGUCCACAUUUGAAUUUGUUUUGUCUGAUAUGGAAAUUUAAUAAGUAUUUUUGAUGAUAAAAACACUAUAGUGACAUUCUUUUAAUGAAGAGAUAAAACAAACAACCCGUUUCCUACAAUAUU